UUAUAAAUGAAAUGCAUUUUAUUGGAUAAAAACAGCUAUGUUUCUUUUGAUCCUGUAACUACUAGGCAACAGAGUUGGAGAAACUUCCUUCACUUGUCUUUCGAAAGAAAGUCCUCUGAACCUGAGCAGAGCUUUGGCUUCAUGACUACAAGAGCAAAAUCUUCCAUGGAUCCUCAUACAAGUUAUAUGUGUGAGGAAAACAUCCUGUGUUUCAGGUCUGCUUCAAAGCGAGCGAGGUCUGUGUCCAGCCGCCGGAUGUGCUUAUCAACCUGCAAAGACAACAGUGACCAGGAGUCACCACAGGACAGAGCCCAGGAGGGCAAAGAAGAGGGGGCUUGCACUAAAGAGCCAAGAAGUAAAGAGCAGGCAGGGCCUAAAAAUGAGAGAUCAAGGCCUUUCAAGACUAGGGGCUUUAGUUUGGACUUUCACCCGAUAAGCACUAGACACUUCCCUUCAUACCAUCUCGUAGGUCUGCAUAGCCAGCUGAACCUUGUCGUCCCCAAACUCCUUGCACUUCCCAUAGGCCUCCUGGAUUUGCUUGAGAAGCCCCAGUUUUUCCUCUGAAGACAAAGUUCGUGCAUUGCUGAUAUACUCUGUGGCCAACUUAUCGAUCUCCGACUUGAGGUCUGAAACAAGUUUACCAUUAAAUACGUAAAUAUACACAAUGCUACAGUGCCCUCCAGUAAGAGAGACUGAAUGAGUGGAGCAGCUUUAGGCUUUCUUCCCUGCCCGGAGAUCCCCAUGAUUAAAGCAAAGCAAAGAAAAGCUGGUCAAGCUACAUACUUAUUGUCUUGGCAACAAAACCAUCUUUAAGUCUCACCUUCUGUCCUCUGAUCCAGAUCUCGCAUGAGCUGGAAGUUUCUCUGCAAUUCAAAUGGCAGGUUCUCAAUACCUGCAGGGAAAGGAGAAUACAUGGAGAAAUCAGGUUCAUGUCCAUGAUGCCAAGGCAGGAACAAAGCUAACCAAUAACACCACAUAUACCCCUCUAAUGAUG